UACGAAGGGGGCUAGCGUUGUUCGGAAUUACUGGGCGUAAAGCGCACGUAGGCGGGUUGUUAAGUCAGGGGUGAAAUCCUGGAGCUCAACUCCAGAACUGCCUUUGAUACUGGCAACCUAGAGACUGGAAGAGGUUAGUGGAAUUCCCAGUGUAGAGGUGAAAUUCGUAGAUAUUGGGAAGAACACCAGUGGCGAAGGCGGCUAACUGGUCCAGCACUGACGCUGAGGCGCGAAAGCGUGGGGAGCAAACAGG
rnacentral:rRNA from 1 species